GCCAAGCCGUAAAAUCAACUCACACUACUAACGCCAGGGGAUUACGAGCUCUAGCUUAAAACCCAAAGGACUUGACGGUGUCCCAUCCUACUAGAGGAGCCUGUUCUAUAAUCGAUGAUCCACGCUAUACCUAACCAUUUUUUGCCUUUCAGCCUGUAUACCUCCGUCGCAAGCCUACCAUAUGAAUGAAUUAUAGUAGGCUCAAUAGCCUAAACGCUACAACGUCAGGUCAAGGUGCAGCUUAUAAAAUGGAUGAAAUGAGCUACAAUUUCUAAUCUAGAACAAACGAAUUACUAUAUGAAACACAGUCAUAAAGGCGGAUUUAGCAGUAAAUGCGGAAUAGAGAGCCCCAUUAAAUCUGGCCCUGGGACGUGUACAAACCGCCCGUCACCCUCUUCAAUAGCCCUACCCUAGUUUUAUAACCUAAUCUAGCAUCUUAGAGGAGGCAAGUCGUAACAUGGUAAGUGUACUGGAAAGUGUACUUGGUUAACAAAAUGUAGCUUACUAAAGCCCCUGCUUACACCAGGAAGAUAUCUAUUUAACCAGAUCAUUUUGAGCCUAAAACCAAGCCCAUAGUUUUUCUCAUGUACCACUACCCCCUUUUUCAUAAAAUAAAUCAUUUUAACUAUAUAGUAGAGGUGAUCAAAAUAAUAAUAAGCGCUAAAACAAAGUACCGUAAGGGAAUAAUGAAAUAAAUGAAAAAUCUAAAGCUAAAAAUAGCAGAGAUUAAAACCCGUACCUUUUGCAUCAUGGUCUAGCUAGUCUAAUCAAGCAAAAUGAAAUUUUAGUUUGCCCUCCCGAAACUAGGCGAGCUACUUCAAAACAGCCUUAGAGCUAACCCGUCUCUGUAGCAAUAGAGUGGGAAGAUUUUCAAGUAGAAGUGAUAAACCAAUCGAGCCUAGAGAUAGCUGGUUAUUCAAUAAAAGAAUUUUAGUUCUGCCUUAAAUUUAUUAAUGAUGUAAUCAAUCAUAAAGAUUUAAGAGUUAUUCAAAUAAGGCACAGCUUAUUUGAAGAAGGAUACAACCUCAAUUACCGGGUAAACCAAGAAUCCUCAUUAAGUGGGCCUAAGAGCAGCCACCUUUAAAAAAGCGUUACAGCUUAAUCUCCAUAAUAAUAAAUUCAAUUAACAACUAUCAACCCGCUACCAUUACUGAAUGACUCUAUAAUAUAUAGAAAACAUCAUGCUAGAACUAGUAACAAGAAUAUAAUAUUCUCCAUAAUAUAAACUCAAACCGAAACGGAUUCCCCGCCGGUAAAUAACGAAAAUGAAUCCUCUGCAAUAACUUACUAGAAAAUCCUGCAUACAUUAUUCGUUAACCUAACACUAGAAUAUUUCUGGAAAGAUUAAAAGGGAAAGAAGGAACUCGGCAAAUCUUGACCCCGCCUGUUUAACAAAAACAUCGCCUCUUGAUAAAUAAUAAGAGGUCCAGCCUGCCCAGUGAUAAUAUUCAACGGCCACGGUAACCUAACCAUGCGAAGGUAGCAUAAUCACUUGUUCUUUAAAUAAGGACUUGUAUCAACGGCACCACGAGGGUUAUACUGUCUCCUCUCCCCAAUCAGUGAAACUGAUCUCCCUGUGAAAAAGCAGGGAUAAUACUAUAAGACGAGAAGACCCCAUGGAGCUUUAAACCUUAAGCAACUUUAUUCUGCACUUCAUUUUAUCUACUAAAUUACUGCCUACCGGUUUUAGGUUGGGGCGACCGCGGAGUAAAAAACAACCUCCAUAUCGAAAAAA
rnacentral:misc_RNA from 1 species